rnacentral:rRNA from 1 species
AUUGAACGCUGGCGGCAGGCCUAACACAUGCAAGUCGAACGAGUGGCGGACGGGUGAGUAAUGGCUGGGAAACUGCCUGAUGGAGGGGGAUAAAUACUGGACACGGUAUCUAAUACCGCAUACCAUCGGAUGUGCCCAGAGGGGAUUAGCUAGUAGGUGGGGUAACGGAUCACCUAGGCGACGAUCCCUAGCUGGUCUGAGAGGAUGACCAGCCACACUGGAACUGCGAUACGGUCCAGACUCCUACGGGAGGCAGCAGUGGGGAAUAUUGCACAAUGGGCGCAAGCUGUAUGUAGCCAUGCCCAGUGUAUGAAGAAGGCCUUCGGGUUGUAAAGUACUUUCAGCGGGGAGGCGUUACCCGCAGAAGAAGCACCGGCUAACUCCGUGCCAGCAGCCGCGGUAAUUC